AAAAGAACUUUGAAGAGAGAGUUCAACAGUACGUAAAACCGCCUAGAGGUAAACGGGUGGAUCCGCAAAGUCGGCCUGCGAAAUUCAGCUCGGAAGGCUCGUCGCAGGUGGUGGGUCGAGAUCUUUCGCGGACUCUCCCGCUUGCUCGACGCUAGCUUGACGUGUGCACUUUUCGCAGGCAGAGCGCCACGACCGGUUUUCGGGCAGUCAGAAGGCGGCGAGGAAGGUAGGUGGGCGCUUCGGCGUUUACUGUUAUAGCCUGGCCUGUCCCGAUCUGCUCGGAGACCGAGGAGCCGCCGCUCGGCAUGGCGCUACCCUGCUCUCCUGGAGGGUUCGACUGACAGAGACUGGGCAACCGUGUCUGUCGACCGCCUUUCUGGACGGAUGGGGGUGCUUUUAGCCAGUCGAGCAAAGGGUCGGUGGCGAAUCGGUCGGCACUCCACCCGACCCGUCUUGAAACACGGACCAAGGAGUCUAACAUGCGCGCGAGUCGUUGGGUAGUACGAAACCCGAAGGCGAAGUGAAAGCGAGGGCCGUCCUUGCGACGUGCUCAGGUGGGAUCCUGCUGCUUCAACUGGCGCGGGC
rnacentral:rRNA from 1 species